rnacentral:rRNA from 1 species
CCUACGGGGGACAGCAGUGGGGAAUAUUGCACAAUGGGCGAAAGCCUGAUGCAGCGACGCCGCGUGAGGGAAGAAGGACUUCGGUAUGUAAAGCUCUAUCAGCAGGGAAGAAAAUUCAGGUACCUGAUCAAGAAUGACCGGCCAGAUACGUGCCAGCAGCCGCGGUAAUACGGAGGGCGCGAGCGUUAUCCGGAUUUACUGGGUGUAGAGGGAGCGUGGACGGCAGGACAAGUCUGGAGUGAAAUGCCUGGGCUUAACCUCGGAACUGCCUUUGAAACUGUGCAGCUAGAGUGCAGGAGAGGUAAGUGGAAUUCCUAGUGUAGCGGUGAAAUGCGUAGAUAUUAGGAGGAACACCAGUGGCGAAGGCGGCUUACUGGACGGUAACUGACGCUGAGGAUCGAAAGCGUGGGGAGCAAACAGGAUUAGAUACCCGGGUAGUC